rnacentral:rRNA from 1 species
UACAGAGGGUGCGAGCGUUGUUCGGAAUUACUGAGCGUAAAGCGCGCGCAGGCGGCCCUUUAAGUCUGACGGUGAAAUGCCGGGGCUCAACCCCGUGCCCGCCGCGGAUACUGGAGGGCUGGAGACACGUAGAGGCAAGCGGAAUUCCGGGUGUAGCGGUGGAAUGCGUAGAGAUCCGGAAGAACACCGGAGGCGAAGGCGGCUUGCUGGGCGUAGUCUGACGCUGAGGCGCGAAAGCGUGGGGAGCGAACAGG